GCGAUUUCCAUGACCUUCGAUUCAAAUCUUGGAUCGGAGGGCGUGACAUAAUCUAACAACAUAUUUAAGCAAAUAUGGUCAUCAGGUCAUGUUCCAAAAAAAAGGAGUCCCCCCUGUUGACCAGAGCGAGCCAUCAAGCAUAAAUUUCACACGAUAUAACUCAUAUUUUGGCUCAUGUGAGUUGCUACUUCUUUAGACCCUC
rnacentral:lncRNA from 1 species